AUUCGUGAUUCAAACCCUAGCUUCGCGUUCUCGCAGCAUUCUUUGAUACUCCCUCCCGCGAUUUCUCUCGAGAGCUUGCCAGUGAUCAUCUGGGUGGAAAUAGGUCUGUACAAGCAAGGAUAUCGACACUUGCACAGCCAAACGAAGCGAAAACGCUCUUUUCUGGUAAGAACAGGCAGGUAUUGCCUUGGAUUCUCCUGUGCAUUGAGAUUUCCACCAGAAGAAGGCAACAACUAUAAGCAAGUGGUUACUGUUCCCAGUCAAUGAAUUACUAAUUUAUAUGCAGCUUGACAAGUUUGAAUUAUUGGUGCGGUUCCGGUUGCCAACUGGUUCAAUUAUAUAAGUCCAAUCGAUAAAGAGACAACGGGCAACAACAAGGCAUUUUGUGUUUCUAAGAGGCAGUUUGGUUUUCUUUUCAAUAAGACCUGAAAGGAAAAAUUAAGGGUAGGGUCAGAGCAAAGACGAAAUGCAUCAUCUCAUUUUUGGGUAUUCUUUUGCCGGCCUCGUGGCCCCAAUCCUCCUCUUUGGGCUUGCGUUCCAUUUUCUCAAUAAGAAGAGAACUAGUGUGCGAAGAAAUGCAGAAGAUGCUAUUACUGGUGCAUCUGAUUUGUUGACUGUGUCAACAGAAACUAAUUCUGGUGGAUCUAGUUUGUCUCUGACAGAAACUAAUGGUGCAUCUAAUUCGUCGGGCAUGGCAACUGGAAACUGCUAUGAGGUGUUCUUGAGCUUUAGAGGCUUAGAUACUCGAAAAGGCUUCACUGAUCACCUCUACACCAGACUUGUUGAUGCUGGAAUUCAUGCUUUCAAAGAUGAUAAUGAGCUCCGCCAUGGCAAGAAGAUUGGGCCAGAUCUUUUGACAGCCAUCAA